rnacentral:rRNA from 1 species
GAUGAACGCUGGCGGCGUGCUUAACACAUGCAAGUCGAACGAACCUUCGGGUUAGUGGCGGACGGGUGAGUAACGCGUGAGAAUCUGCCCUCAGGAGGGGGAUAACGGCUGGAAACGGCCGCUAAUACCCCAUAUGCCGAGAGGUGAAAUGAAUUUCGCCUGAGGAUGAGCUCGCGUCUGAUUAGCUUGUUGGUGGGGUAAUGGCCUACCAAGGCGACGAUCAGUGGCUGGUCUGAGAGGAUGAUCAGCCACACUGGGACUGAGACACGGCCCAGACUCCUACGGGAGGCAGCAGUGGGGAAUUUUCCGCAAUGGGCGAAAGCCUGACGGAGCAACGCCGCGUGAGGGAUGAAGGCCUCUGGGCUGUAAACCUCUUUUAUCAAGGAAGAAGAUCUGACGGUACUUGAUGAAUAAGCCACGGCUAAUUCCGUG